rnacentral:misc_RNA from 1 species
GGCCAAAAGUCAAGUGUAUGUACAAAAAAAAUAUUAUGUGUCAAAUCCAAGUUGCGAUACUUGGGUGUACAUUGACAUACAAAUCACGCUACAGAAUAGUUUGUAACGCAGUAUUUGAGAGAUCCUCACAGGGUAACAAAAAAAGCACAAACUGUAGCAAGGGAGAAUUGUAUUCAUACAUAAACGUAGUCCAAGUAAAUUUGUUAUCACACAGCAUCUUCCAAAGCCUGUAUGAGAAUAAAACCUAUAACAGAACCUUACAAUUCUACAUGUGCUAUUAAAAGCAUUACCUCUGCUAGCACAUUAAUAAGGAAAACAUAGACAGUAGGUAACACUACCAGGAUCAAGGCUUGUGGACCUUGAAACCAAAAACUCUGGGAACGUAGCUCUGAGAAAUCUUCUGUGGCUUGAGAUGUCCAUAAGUCAUCAAGAACAGGUGCGGAAAUGUGGUUCCAAAGUAAGCUCCAUCAAUGUUCUCAUGAUAUCUUGACCGAGGUGUAUACGCAUCUUCACAUCGAGGACAGUAUAUAUUCACUCUGCUUUGUCGAGGAAUGUCUGACUGGCCAACAGGGAGGCAUGGUUGUCCACAGCAGUAAACUCUAGGACAUCUCCCAAACUCAGCAUUCUUGUACUUCUCUAACAUAGCAGCGAGUCCCUUUGUUGUCAAGAUGUAGCGGGCAUGUAUUAGACCAUAAAGCAUCUCUGCUGCUGAUUCAACUAGUUCAUUCUGUUCUUCUGUAAACAUAUCACCAUGAGAAGAUUCGACGUCUAGAAUCAGAUCAAGUGCAUAGUCAUAAUAUGGUACGAGGCUGCUUAGACCGCACAGGUUAAAGUCAUCUUGGAUGUAGUCAUCAUCAACUUCACAGAAGAACUCAUUCCCACGUAGACCGCAGUACCAUGAGAUCCAUGAAGUGUCUUCUCCAUCAGAACCACUAAUAUCUGAUGCCUCACUGUCUGUUUCAGAUUCAUCAGAGCACUUAUUAUCAGGAGGAGGAGGAGGAGCAGAGUUUCUGAGCUGGUCCUUGGAUUUGGACAGGGCAAAGCGAUGAUCCUUUCCAUUAGUACCCCUGACAGUAGUAGUGGAGGUAGAAGGAGAUGAGCGCUCCAAGUGCUUAUCCAAGGCUUCAUUUAAUCUCUUCCUAUCACCUACACGUCCCAUCUCCGGCUUCGAUCCACCGCCAACUCUUCUUUCUUUGUACAUAUCUCUCUCCUCAGCUUAUACGACAAUUAAACAACAGGACUCGAACCCUAGGGCUUCAAUGUCCGAGAAACGAGGAGAGAGAAACUUAGGGUUUUUGGUGAGGGGGAUUGAAGGUUAUCCCAUUUUCUCUCUCUAAUCUAUGCUUAUUGAUGGAAUGUUUUAGAGAGAGACAGAGAAGGAAUUGUGACCGGAGAAGGUGAUAUAUAAACACCGGCGGGAAGAACUUAGCUUAGCUUUGCUUAGGCGAUUUUUUCGGAUGCUCUUUAGAAAGUUGACAAGGGAUGUUAGAGGCUAUGUGCAAAAGUGUGUUGACAAUGGAAAAGAUGUAAAUCUCCAAUUUGCAAUCAAAGCUAAGACCAUUACUAGUGGGCUGAAAUACUCUCUUGCUACUGGAAACUGGGGGCAAGCUAAUGCAGCUGGUACAAGAGCUGGUGUUUCGCAGGUGCUGAAUCGUCUGACUUAUGCCUCUACUUUGUCUCACUUGCGACGGUUGAAUUCCCCUAUUGGACGAGAAGGGAAACUGGCCAAACCAAGGCAAUUGCAUAAUUCACAAUGGGGAAUG